UCAGACGAUGCGUCAUGCAUAUCAAUAAGCGGAGGAAAAGAAACUAACAAGGAUUCCCUCAGUAACGGCGAGUGAAGCGGGAAGAGCUCAAAUUUGAAAUCUUCAAGGUUUUACCUUGACGAAUUGUAGUUUAAAGAAGUGUUUUCUGCUGAAGUUUUGGUAAAAGUUCUUUGGAAUAGGACAUCAUAGAGGGUGAGAAUCCCGUAUUUGACCAUUAUUUUCAGCUUUGUGAUACACUUUCAAAGAGUCGGAUUGUUUGGGAAUGCAGUCCAAAAUGGGUGGUAAAUUUCAUUCUAAAGCUAAAUAUUGGCGAGAGACCGAUAGCGAACAAGUACCGUGAGGGAAAGAUGAAAAGAGCUUUGAAAAGAGAGUUAAAUAGUACGUGAAAUUGUCAAAAGGGAAGCGUUUAACUACCAGUGUUGUUUUCUGAAAAUCAACCUCUGUUAGCUUUAUGCAUGUUUGUUUAGACCUAAUCAGCUAUCUUGCAUGUUCUAUUGUUUGCAGUGGUGCACUUUUCAGUUUACAGGUCAACAUCAGUUUUUUUUACCGUAAAAAAGUUAAAGAAAGGUAGCUCAUGGCUCCGGUCGUGAGUGUUAUAGUCUUUUUCCUAUGCGGUAGGAGAGACUGAGGUCUGCAGUGUAGGCUAUUUGGCUAGAUACUCAGGUGCUAUGUGAUACCAUCUCAUAAACAACUUGUUGAUUAUGUUUUGUCUAUUGCAUACUCGCUUGUACUAUCAUACCUACGCUUAGGAUGUUGACUGAUAUGUAGUCGU
rnacentral:rRNA from 1 species